rnacentral:rRNA from 1 species
UACGUAGGGUGCGAGCGUUGUCCGGAAUUACUGGGCGUAAAGAGCUCGUAGGUGGUUUGUCGCGUUGUCCGUGAAAACUCACAACUCAAUUGUGGGCGUGCGGGCGAUACGGGCAGACUGGAGUACUGCAGGGGAGACUGGAAUUCCUGGUGUAGCGGUGGAAUGCGCAGAUAUCAGGAGGAACACCGGUGGCGAAGGCGGGUCUCUGGACAGUUCCUGACGCUGAGGCACGAAAGCCAGGGGAGCGAACGGG